rnacentral:rRNA from 1 species
GACGAACGCUGGCGGCGUGCUUAACACAUGCAAGUCGAACGGUGAUGCUCCAGCUUGCUGGAGUGGAUCAGUGGCGAACGGGUGAGUAACACGUGAGCAACCUGCCCCUGACUCUGGAAUAAGCGCUGGAAACGGCGUCUAAUACUGGAUACGAGAAGGGUCCGCAUGGGCACUUUCUGGAAAGUUUUUCGGUUGGGGAUGGGCUCGCGGCCUAUCAGCUUGUUGGUGAGGUAAUGGCUCACCAAGGCGACGACGGGUAGCCGGCCUGAGAGGGCGACCGGCCACACUGGGACUGAGACACGGCCCAGACUCCUACGGGAGGCAGCAGUGGGGAAUAUUGCACAAUGGGCGAAAGCCUGAUGCAGCGACGCCGCGUGAGGGAUGACGGCCUUCGGGUUGUAAACCUCUUUCAGCAGGGAAGAAGCGAAAGUGACGGUACCUGCAGAAGAAGCACCGGCUAACUACGUG